UACAGAGGUCUCAAGCGUUGUUCGGAUUCAUUGGGCGUAAAGGGUGUGUAGGUGGCGCCGUAAGUCAGGUGUGAAAUCUCGGGGCUUAACUCCGAAACUGCAUUUGAUACUGCGGUGCUUGAGGACUGGAGAGGAGACUGGAAUUUAUGGUGUAGCAGUGAAAUGCGUAGAUAUCAUAAGGAAGACCAGUGGCGAAGGCGGGUCUCUAGACAGUUCCUGACGCUGAGGCACGAAGGUCAGGGGAGCAAACGGG
rnacentral:rRNA from 1 species